CAGCAGAGACGACGGUAGUGCAGGUCGAGGUGCAUUCCAAUCCGUUCGAAAAUUUGCUUCGUAUUCACAUGAAUAAUAUUGUAAACCGUUAAGAGUUCAGCUCAGACAGUAUCUACCAUUAACGUAGUAUAUAUCCUCUUCAUAUAUUCCUCUAUAUAUCCAACACAAACCCAUUCUGAAUAAUAGGUAAUAAAACAUUCGAAGUAGACGAAGACUCGAAACAAUGAGCAGUGAAGCGGUUGGCCAACGUCGUAAUGGAACAGUCCCGAGUCUAAGGCAACAGUCUACUGGAGGAAACACACCAAGCAAGUCGACAAGGCGGCCGGAAUGUUGAAGAAAUUUAGUUGCCAAUCGUCAAACUAUUUCGUCAAGGCUCAGGUGAGCUACUUGCUGCACCUCCUGGAACCACUACAGAUAUUCGAUUUUUAUGGAUGGUACAGGCUGGACUACAGCACCCUGGUGGGGGUGGUGAACCUGAUGGUGACCUACCUGGUGAUCCUGGUGCAGGUUGGUGACCAACCCCUCAACCGCCAGGCUUAACGCACCACCAAUGCCACCACCUAUACCUGGACUACAAUGCUUACUAUAAUUACUCCUAGAUGUAUGCGUAUAAUAAAUUAUAUAUCAAUAAAUGUACUGUAGAGUAUUUCACUCACUGUUGUGUAAACAAUUCAAAUUUACUCAUCGUUAGUCCAAAUUUUCUCACCAGUGCGAUUCUGUUCGUCUAGCUGACUAUGUGAAUGAAGUAAAAAAAAUAAUUGUUAGAUUCAUUAUAAUUUGUUGAAUUUUCAGAUAAAUAUUCAAUUUUCUAAGCUUGUAAAACAAACAGAUAUGCCGCCCGACGGUGUAUCUUAAUUAAGAACCUGGACAGGGAAGACUACGUCGCUUAUGUCCCGAGGCCACUGUCUCUCACUGUCAAAAAAUUCUUAAAUUACCCUUGUGUGAAGGAUCAGUGUAUCAGAGUCUUAUAAAUUAUAGUUUUUAGAAUGUUUAUUUCCGGGUUAUGGAUAUGGUGGUUUUUUUCAGAAUUAAUCAAUAUGUCAACAAUGAGCCAAGUUUGCUCCUGUAUUUGAACAUUUUAACCAGAUUAUAUGGUCCUUUUAGAUAAUAAAUCUGGUGUGUAUCUUUACUUUCUAUGUUUACAAGAUGACAAGAUGAUGGGGCGUAUAUAUCAUUUGUGUUUUGUUAUUAUAUUGAAAUUUAUGUAUCUAUACUUGUCCCUGUAUCUGUACCUGCACAGUAUAUGUAAGUCCACAUGUUCUAUUCCUUGUGCAUUAAACUAAUUGAAAGAAUAAAAUUUGA